rnacentral:lncRNA from 1 species
UUUAGGUGUGUGUGUGUGUGUGUGUGUGUGUGUGUGUGUGUGUGUGUGUGUUUUAGAGGUCCUAAACUACACAGCUGUCCUAACCCUGCGCUGUCUUUUUCCUGAUGAAUUGGAAUUGGAUACUACCAAUUGGUAGUAUCCAAUUCCAAUUGGAUAGUAACUUUUCUUUGUGUGGGGCGCUUCCUUGUGCAUUGUAGGAUGUCAGUAGCAUCCUUGGCCUCUUAUAAACUGCCAAUAGCACUUACAAAGCCAUGGCAAGCAAAGAUGCCUCCAAAAAUCACUACUGUUGAUGACCACUGAUGUACUGAUGCCUCUCCCUGGCCCUCUGCUAGAUUAAGGUCAUCCUACUCCUUGUCGGGUUGUCAUUGUUCCCAGCCUUGCUCCUCUCCCCUGACCACUAUACUCUCCUAGUAAGGUGGAACGUGUUUAAGUGGAAGUCAGACUCGGUAGGUAGGCAGAGCUGGCACUGCAGCAUACAGAUGGGUGUGGUUUUGGGUGGUGGCUCGUGAUUAGAUGGUUAAAUGUCUUUUGACAUGAAAGCGCGCAGAUGACACUUCACAGAACAUAAUUAGGUAUGUGCUCUCUGUUCUGUUCAGAGCCUGUCUUGGGGAUUUGGGUUAGGAAAGAACACUUCAGGGAUUGUUUUUCUUAAUGUUUUUAUUUGAAAGAAGCAGGGGGAAAAAAGCUUCUAUUUGCCAUAUUUAAGGUAUCUUUAGUGUAAUAUCUGGAGUCCAUUUCUUUGGCAUGUAAGAAGUGAUGUAGAUGCAUAGGUAAAUAUGAAACAGCCAUUAUUCCUGAAUGUAGCUGAGAAAGGUGUAAGCCUUAAGGCGCAGAGGGAGCAAAAUGGGAAGGUGGGGAGGACCACCCCAGGUGAGAAAUGUUGCCUUUGUCUGAGCUGGGUAGAAGGGGUAAGCAAAUUAGAUCUCAUAGCAGGAGGCUAGACCAGAUUUUCACCCCCAUUAAUAUCUUCCUUGAUUGCUUACUUUAGUUCUUAAAAUCUAGACUUUAAUGAGUUCCUCUUUCUUAAGAUCAUCCAGAAUACCCAUUUUGUAAACUUUGACCUCUUGAUUUUUUUUUAACCCUUUUCCCAUUUUAAUAUCUUUUAGUGAUAGGAUGUUGAUGUUGUGGUUAUACCCUAAUUUCCAUAUUGCAAACAUGUAGAUUGUUCUAAAUAAUUUUACUACUGUAAAUCCCCUUUGGUGAAUGCCUUUUAUUUUUGGAGUGUGUCUGUAUGUAGGUAUGUGUGUGAGUGCAUGUGUGGAGCAGGUAUUGCACUCCUGGGGCGAGAGGAGGAUGCCAGGGCUCCUGCAACAUAUGUUCUCUCAAGGAAUCUGCCCAGCUGUCGUCAUGCUUGUAGCACAUGAGUUCUCACCCACUGAGUCAUCUUUUCAGCUUCUAAUGCGUGGCUCUGAGUGUGAGUUUCAAUCCACAGUCGAGAUGAUUUCUUUAAGAGAGCACAAACUUAAAUGAUGAAGGUGUUUUUAAGGCUAUUGAUCCAUAUUGCUGAACCACCUUUCUGAAACUGGCCAACUAGUUAUUCCUACUUCUAACUCCCAUUAGAUGGUCAUUUUAGAAAGUCUUUGCCAAUUUUUAAAAAGAAAAUUACUGAUUAUGAAAAAAGAUCUCAUUAUCAUGUACUUAUCAGUGAAGCUGACUUGUUUUUCUCUUUUCUUUGUAAAGUUCAUUAUUUUGUUUUAUAAAAUGGCUACAAAUUGUCUGUUACCCAUUAAUCUGUUAGACAUUAAUAUUUUAAAAACAUUUAUAUACCCAGUACUUCCCCUUUCUCCUUUCUUUUCUUCUUCAGCCUGCCUGUUCUUUUUGUCAUGGUAGGCAUCAGACCCAGGGCAUGCUCUAACUUCCACUUCCAAAAGCUCUUACAUAUUAAAGGUCUUUUUUUUUCUGGGGUAUUUAUUUGAAACACUUUUUUUACUUUUCAAAUUUGUCUAUUGCUAUAUGAUUUCAAGCUUACAGAGAAGUGUAAGUGUAUACGGAUCUGCGGUCUGCUCUUUGUUAGAGGCUUUUUGCUAUAUGUUAGCAGGAGCCAGGCCCUUCUCUCCUUUCUUUUAGGAAUUCUCAAGUUGUCUGCCUGUGCAGUGGUGACCAAACUCGGUGUAGCAAAUCCAUGGUUGUCCUUCUGGGUGUAGCAAGUCCUGGUUGUCUUUCUGGUGCUUUACUGUUCUCUCUGUCCAUAUCUCAUACACAACCAUCCUGGAUUUAGCUGUCAUCUCAGACUCUUGACAUGGAAUAGUUCCUUAAUCUCUCUUUGUUCUUGACAUCAGUGUCUUUGAAGGGUACCCCCCAGUUAUCUUCUAGAAGAUCCCUAUGUGUAUUUCUCUGUAGUUGCCUCAUGCUUAUAUUCAGUUUUAAACUUUAGACAACUAUAAAAACCAAAAAUAUUUCUGUUCUUCACAGUUUAACAUAAUAGUAGCCAUAUAAUGUUAGUUUGUUAUAUGUUAGUGAUAACAUUGGGAACUUGUGGUGAAAUUGGUGUCUGCCACAUAUUGUUUUUCUCUUUGAAGUUAGUUAAACUCUUCUGUAGCUCAUUAGUCUUAGACUUGAAUUGUGAAUUUUUUCAUCCAGAUUUCUUUCUGUAUUAAUUUUCUCCUAUUGUGAGGAAGAACUUUCUCUCCUGCCACUUCCUGCUUAUUUUUUCAUUCAGUUAUUUAUUAGAAUGAUACAUAUGCAUAUUCUUAUUUAGUAACAUAAUUACUAUAGUUUAUGUACUUGUAUACAUUUUUUUCACACAUCUAAUAUUUUUGUCUUCUGAAUCUUCAUUUGUUAAUCUUUCUAUAAUAAAAUGUAAAAUUAGGUAGUUUAUAUUCAGGAAUAUUAAUUUUCAAGUGGGUGUGGUGCUGCAUACCUUUAAUCCCAACUGUUAAGGUAGAUGAAGCUUUAUGAGUUUGAGGCCAGCCUGGUCUACAUAGUAAGUACCUGACCAGAUAAGGUUACAUAGAGAACCAAUGGCCCCUGUAUUAGUUUUACUUAAUACACUCUUGGUUCUUUUUCUCUCUCUCCAGCCUUUGUAGCUGUCUACCUCUUAAUUGGAACAUUUAUAUUUCUCUUUAUAUUGAAUGAUUAUACAGCUAAGCCAAAUUUUUGGCAUUUGC